rnacentral:rRNA from 1 species
UUAGGAAUAUUGGGCAAUGGAGGAAACUCUGACCCAGCAACGCCGCGUGAAGGAAGAAGGUUUUCGGACUGUAAACUUCUGAUCUAAGGGAAAAAGAAAGUGAUGGUACCUUAGGAGAAAGCCACGGCUAACUACGUGCCAGCAGCUGCGGUAAUACGUAGGUGGCGAGCGUUGUCCGGAAUGACUGGGCGUAAAGGGAGCGUAGGUUGUGGAUUAAGUUAGGUGUGAAAGCCCGGGGCUCAACUCCGGAAUUGCACUUAAAACUGGUCUACUAGAGUACAGGAGGGGUAAGCGGAAUUCCUAGUGUAGCGGUGGAAUGCUUAGAUAUUAGGAAGAACACCAGAGGCGAAGGCGGCUUACUGGACUGCAACUGACACUGAGGCUCGAAAGCGUGGGGAGC